UGGAAGGAUGAUCUCACUUC
rnacentral:snRNA from 1 species